AAACCCAAAUUCCCCACCUGCCCAAGGCUGGGGCAAAACCCCCACCCACAUAACUUCAAAAACUGAAGGGAUUCCACUCACCGAAUGUCCCUUCACAUUAGGAGUGUUUCUUAGUGUUCUGUGGAUUGGUUUCUAGGCUCCAACUGCCAAUACACCAGCUGUCUAUAAAUGCAUCAAAUAAUAAGAUUUAUUAGCAACAUUUGUUCAUGUUUCAAAUUCAUGUGAAGAAUAUGCAGGUGAUAGGCAAAAAUGGCUGCUGGCUGAACACUUGUCUGGCUGCCUUGAAUGGCAGUAGGAAGGUUAGUUGUGGAAUAUUGGUGUCUGGUUCUAGGAACGAUAACUUUCCAGUCUGUCAGAUGACAUACAGCGUAACUGAGAAGUUUAAGUAACUUCCCCACAGUUACUCAUCAGAGACAGAUGUUUUACCCUGCACAUGUAAAGCAAGUAGACUAGCAUAGAUGGAGGAGGAGAAUUCCUGCAUUUUGCUGGCUUCUGUCGUCAUUAUCUAUCCAACAGAGAAAAGUCUUUCCAUCAGGAAGGGCUGCUGGAGAAGACAGGAAGAGCCCUAUCUGAUCCUUAUCGGGAGCGGACAAAAGCCAUGCGUUGCCUUUUCCUUUUGACGUGUGCAAUUAAGUUUGGCUUGUGUGGAAGAAACAUGUCAAGAAGUCCCAUUGGCGCCAGAGUUUUCUUGCAUUCAGCCAUGGGCAGGGUUACAGUAGACGGUUUCCUCUCGCUUCUUUCUGGGAUCCUGUGCCAGGGCAGGAGGGAAUUCAUGGUAGCUGGAGCCUGUGGCUGCCUGUGGCCAGGCUGGUUGCUGGAAAGCCAGGUUUGGACACUGAUGGCUCCGCUUCCUAAGGGCGUCCAUCAGCUGGCACACAUUGGCUGUGGGGAUGCUGGAGUGACCUGUCCCAGAUGUGGAGGUGAUGAUGGCUGUGCUGUGUCCCAGGACAUGGUGGCUGUACACAUGGGAAACUGCAGCCUCAGGUGUUUGGAUACCACUCGCAUCCAAAGUGUGGCAGGACCCCAUGAAGACAGCAGCGCUGCUGGCUGAGGGUUGGGCUUAAGCCACUGGGCACCCUGAUGCUGACACACUCCUGUACCUUCCGUCAUGACUGUGACACUUGCAUCUAUGCUCAGCGGUUGCAAGCAGCAACGCAGACACUCGUCCCGCCUCCCUGCAGCCCCCGGCCGUGGCAGCAGGACUGUGGCGGUGCAGGCUGUCCCUCAUCUGGGGCCGCCUGGGGCCUGCACGGGCUCAUCGUCCCAAGGGAAUAAGAUGACAUCAGCGGGAGAUCAUGAACUCCCCGAGGAUGUCCUCUUCAGGGAUGUCCCUUCAGGGCUGUAACAGGAGCUUCCUGGAUCCUGGGUCUGCAUUUAGGAUCUGACCUAUGCUGGUCCAGCUGUGCAUUUUUGACUCACAUGCCCUCUUUAAUACGUUGCUCCAUGGUCCCACUGGGGCUGUAGCACCAGCCUGGAACUCUGCAAAGCAAACUGCCCUGUCAGCAACUGAAAUUGCCUGACUGCCUCACUAGCCAAAUUCCAUCUGAGACAAUCUCUGCAGGCUACAGCAGAGAAAGAGAAAGUCCAUGUUGUAUUUAGUAGUCCCAGUAAAUGUUCUAGGGAGUAACUUCCCCCUUCCUUGAUGCAACCUGAAAGUACAGCCCUCCAGUUUGUGUUUCGGGUUCUACGUCAGCCAUGUCAAGAUUUGAACAAGAAUCAAGGAGGACAAUGGGUCAGAUGUAAUUAAGAGGAGGAGGGUCCAUCCACUGAAGCUGCACUGAUAUGUGGGAUGUAGUUAAGCAUCUGCUGGGACUGAGGCUGGGAUCAUUAAAGUCACUUGUCUGCUCUUCUUUGAACACAGACCCAUGAGGAGAACGGAGCCUCGGAGGCAACAGUUUUAUCAACUUUUCCUGUUGACCAGAUGAUGGCUCAGUGAUAAACGAAUGGAGUAUGCUUGAGCUGGAAGUCUCCCACAUGCCGUCACUCCCUACCCUUCUCUGGCUUCUGCUGCCUGCUUGAAUGCAUUGCUGUGUGAGGAAAGGGGCCUGUCCUCAAAGGUCACCACAGGCUGCACUGCUGCUGGCAGGCAAGAACAGCCUUUGCCUAUCCAGGUCUCUGAGGAGCUCUGGGACAUCACAGGAGGACGGGGCACUGCCAGCUGCUGCAUGAGAGCUGCCAUGGUGGCUGGCUGGGCUCUGCAUGAGCUGGAGCCUGCCACAGCGUCAGCAGGGCAUGCAGUGAAAAAUAGGCUGCCUGCACCAGCCCGAAGUUGUAGAGGUUGGAACCUGAUCUGUCCAGAAGCUGGGGAGGACCUGAACUGGCUCCAGCAGUUCUGAAAGACAGCAAAAGCAGCACGGCUUUCCUCUGACAAAAGUGAUAGUUCAAGGAGAAGAUGCAGGAAUCAGCUUUACUUCAACCCCCUCUGUGAAGCCAAAGACACAUGGCAUUAGCAGUCAUGAUUGUGAGAUCACCUGUUUAGGAACAUCUGCCCAAAGAAGAAGUCUGUUUUCACUGUUUCUCACAACUGAAACAACAACAACAACUUGGGAUGUGGUGUGCUGUUGCCUGGACAGAUGCAUGAAGAGAAUUGGUUUGGGCCAGUUCAGCGGAAGGGAGCUGUUUAUGAAUGGACUGAGACGCACGGGGGACUGAGAAUGUUAAGUUCAAGGCUUCAACCCUCUGGGUCAAUGGUCUUUGGGACAAGGCAAAGAGGAGACAGAAGUUGAGGAGACACUGCUGUUUCGGAGUCUGUUAUUUCAGGUCACAGUCUUGUCAGGUCAACAAAAGUCAUACAACAUGACUGGUGCCAAAGCACACUUGAUGAUUGUGCAUGAAUAUUUAUCCUCUGUCUUUUUAUUAUCAACUUAAUUUUGCAUUCUGACAGACUUAUCAUUACACACCUUCUUUGAAGACCUACUAGACAACCCCCCCAAAUGUGCUUUGUUUUAUAGUACACCAGGCAAUGAGCCAAAACAUAAGUCUGAGGAAGCUUUUAUGUCACCACCUUCUUGGAGCUUUCUUCCAGAUCAUCUGUGUUGUACUGGAUUCCCUCCUGAGGGAAGGGGUGCAAAAGUCCCUUCCAGCUGAGCAGUGGUGACCCCAGACAUUGUCCUGAGGCAUUUUUUUGGGGCUGCUGUCUGGGCUGUGAUGCUGCUUGCAGCAGCACAUGCAUUUCUUUGACUGAUCAUCAGUUGGAGGGUAUGGAUGGCCCUUGACCCCUGACCUGUGUCUCACACCCUUGUUCUAGACCCUGGUGAUAACUGGUGGGCCAGACUGCCCUUCCUUCCUCCCUUUAGCUUGUAGAUAGUUCUUUGGCAUGCAUCCAAACCUAAUGCAGAAUAGAGGGAAAGGUCUUCAGGUUCCCAGAGUGUAUAUACACAUGUGGUCAAAUCCCCCACUCAUUAAAUUAGUAUGUGCAGUGGAGACCAGCUACUGAUUUAUGUUUUCAUCUAUGCAAGGUAAAUUGGAUUGAAACUUCACACUGUUUAAAAAGGAGAGCUGAGAUUCUUGCUUACAUCUGAGUUCUAAAUUAGCAGGCACAUGACUAAGCUUCAUGGACCUGAAAAAGCUGGGUCUGAGUUAAUAUGAUGCCUAUACCAUUGAUUUCGCUGGAGCCUUUUGUAUCAGAAACCACAUGUACACAGCCUCACAUUGUGAAGCAAGAUUAAUUUAGCUGUUGGCAAAUUAUGUGCUGUAUAAGUAUGUUCUGUGAAUGACUUGGAUUGCGAAUUCUACUUCUCAAUAUUUGCAAUGCAAAGUACCAGUAACAUGAACAGGGCACUACUGGUUUCAGCUGAACUUUGCAGAAAUGUGAAUGACAGGCACCCAAAAUAAGGAGAUAAAUGGUGGAGAACUAAACAACAUAAGGCCUACUGAGUCAGCUAUUAAAAGCCUCAAUCUAAAUGAUAACAUAGAAGGUAGAUAUAAAAGUAAUUGCAAAGGUUUUAGAGCUGUAGUCCCUCUAAAAACGCAGAAGGCGUGGCCUCUCUCUUACAAAAAGUUGAUUCGUGAAUAUUCCCAGCUAUAAUUACAGGGAGCACCACAAAGGGGGUUACCAAGAAUAUCUCCACGUUUAAGGUGUUAUUUUAAUGUUUUUAAGAUUUAUCCACUUUUAGAACCAAAAUUCUUGUUUACUCUCUUUGAAUUGUUAUAGCAAUAGCUGAAGCAAAACAAACUUCCCAUGAUCUACCUACCUUGGAGAACAGAACCACUCUGGAUAAUAGAAGUAAAUUAAUGGUAUGCAAGCUCAGUUUUUGAUGUGCUUCCUAACUGUACCAAUUCGCUUGAUGCAGGUCCCUAAAGGAACAUGGGUAUUAAGCUAUUACCCUGAAGUGAAAGCCACUGUAUAUUGUCCUAGUGUUCACUUGUGUGCAGUUGCUCUUCAACUUCACUCACUUUUAUGUUGGUAAAAUUUUUGAUUACUUGGCAUUUGCAAAUGCUGAGUAUAUGAAGCUUAAGUAGCAUAGAUUAGAGUUUUCCAUUGGACCAGAGACAGUAAAAUCAUGAGUCUUUUCUGUUAUGGUUCCUGCUAGUUACUAACCAACCAGGAACUGUUAUUUCUCCCAAGCACAUAGAUACACCUCUGCAGAGAUUAUCCUUGCACCAGUAACAAAGAUAUUAAAAAUGUUCCUUACUCACAUCAGUGAGAUGUAGAGAGAUGAACUUUUCUUGCACUCUAUAUUGCUGAUGAUAACUUUUUCUAUGAGUCUUUCUCAAACUUAAGAAAUUUGCAUCUUUCCAUAUGUCUGGAUUGGUUCCAGUCUUAAAUGUUCAUGUGCUCUCCUAGACCAAACACAUUUCCUCCCCAGUACCUAGCCACCAUUUACUAGAUAAAAACAACACCAUAUUUUGCUUCUUGCCCCUGGUCCCUCCCCAUAGCUCUGCCAUCAGAAGAAACCAAUCAAGCACUCCCCAACACACUACAAGUAAAGCCAGCCUGGUUAGCUCAUAUCCAUGUUCAUCACCAGGUGAAAUGAAUCUGGCUGACUUAGCUUAAACAGAUUAGGAGUUAAUUUGCGAUCCCUUUUGCUAAUGGAGCAGUAUGUUGUGUGCUUGGAAAGAAACAGCAAGACAGUGUUGUCAUCUUCCCAGAAGAGCUUCUCUGCAGUCUCAGGUUUUCUCAGCGCUCCUAUCCUUGAACCCAGUCUUGCACCUGUCAGCUUUCAUGCUUUUUCUGCAUACUUUGCCAUUAUUUUUUACUUUAGUGGCCACAACUAAACAUAUAUUUUGACGUUUUAAGUGAGUGUUCUCAGUUCAGCUUGCUUAGCCUGUCUUUAUUAAUUAAACUUCUGUCUUCAUAUUAAGUUUCUUCAGUGCAUCUCUUCCAGCUUCAGCUCUUACUUUUCCAUUUGCCUUCCUUAUACUCUGCCAUCCUUGAACUGCACUGAACUCUUCCUCGUUUCACAUCUUCCUGUACAAUAUUCGGAUUUGGUAUUUCUCUGCCUAAUUUUACUAUGGCUGAUGUGAAAUUUGUCUUUGCUACGGAACCAGCAGUGAGGAGACAGGUAUUUCUUCUCUUUGCUGUAUUCAUUCUCACUCUUACAUAAAAUCUCAGCUGAAAAAGGGCAUUCUCUCCUGUGAUUGCAACUGCACGAUCUUCUUUUUCCUGCUACUCUUCCCUUUGGGAUACAUUUUAAUACGUCAUCAUCCAUGGUAACUGCACUGUUUAUGUUUGCAGUUUUUCAAUGUGCUUGGAGUUGGGGUUUUCCAGAUGAGCGGUGUAUUAAGAUUUAAUCUGAACCUAGUCAGAUAAUAUUGACCUGCAAUGAAAAAGCUGUAUGAAUGAGAUAGCAGCAGACAGCUUAAAGCGCUGAGUGCCAAGUGCUGACUGAAAAAUGAUACCCCAGAAGUUUGGUGGUGGAGAGCAGAUGGGACAUUUAUGAAUGGAAAAGCUUUCUGAUUAUUUAAAUAUUGUGAUAUAUUUUUUUUUAAUUUUCCCAAUUUUUUCAAUGCUUGCCAGAAUUUGCCUGCUCCUGUAGGGAGCUUCCAGGAGCUGCUUAUGUCUUUGUGAGCUACCACAUCUUGACACCAACUUCAAGGCCUCUCUGUUUUGCCACAGUAACUUGCCCAAAAUUAAAACAGUAAGAACUGAACCCAAGACUUUGGAUUCCUGAUGCUCCUCUCUAUGCCCAUUUCAGCUAUACUUCCCAACUGUUCAGUGUUAGCAGUCAUCAGGAAACAUGUAUUUUGUUUCCAAAAUCAGGGUCUUCUGAAACAAAUCCCUAGGUAUUAGAGUACUGCCACAGCUUGCAAGCCACAUUGUGUUAGGGCCACAAACAAUGAGUUGGCCCUUGCCCAAAGCAGCUUUUAAUCCAGGUCAUGUAUAUGGAAGAUAGGCAAGGGAAGCUGCUUCCGCAUAUAUCUGAGUUGCCUGGGUUAAAUGUGGUGAAUUAUUUCAGCAAAUAUAUUCCAAACCUUCCCCUUCAAUUUUUCACAAGUUCCAAAUUUGGAUGCUGCUCUAAAUGAAAAGGAACAAUUAAAAUGCCUUUCUGAAUACAUUUGAAAUGAAAUAAGUUUCUGUAAUUUUCCUGGGCAAGCCAGCUCUUUGGAGGGGGCAAAAGUUGCAAAUGGAAAAACAAACAAACAAAUGAGUGAGUAACUGUGGGAGGUGCUGCCAGAGAAUCAGAAACAAGCCUGGAUAGAAGGGGGAGGGAAAGGCUGUUGUCCGCACUGGGACAAUUUGUAGAAAACAAAAUGUAGGAGAGAGUUUAAAUUAACAGGGAAUGAAAAAAAUUCUGUCUCUGUCUCUCUCUCUCCCUCUCAAUGCAGACAAUCAGGCUACCAGAACUCAUGAUGGUGCUAUUAAACAGGACUGGUUUCAAGGACUUCAAGAAAGAAAAUAGAAAUUCCCACUUCUAUUAUUCAGGUUCUUCCUUUACAGGGAUUCCUACAGCUACAUGAGUAGGUGAGUCCCCCUCGGUCUCAGCUGUAAGGGGGAAGAAUAAAUGUGGUUGCCAGAUGCACUGAGUUAAUAGUCAGUGAGCUGAAAAAAGCAGGACUACCAGCUACCUUUCUGCUUUCCAAAUCCUGGACCAGUGAGAAAUCAAAACGUAGUUUAGGUCAGCCUACAGGUAUAGAGUAUGCUUCACCUCCCAUGAACCGGUGAUGGGAAGCCAAGGAAAGAGUGCUGCAGAGCUGCUGAUUGCCUGCUCUCCAAAGGCUUCCCGUUAAGGGGAAUCCUCAGUUGUCCAUUUAGGGUAGUAUUAUAGCCGCACUGAGCUGCGGAGGCAUGCAAGGAAGCUGCAGAUGGGGCUGAGAGUACAGCUUGAAACUUCUCUGUUGAGCCACCCAGUUACAGCAUUAUCAAAUGCCUGCUAGAUGCGGGUACUGAGACUGCUGGUAACAGCUAAAGGCAAAGCAGGGGGUCUGGUUUUAAUAAAAACAUAGUUUAUGAACACCAUUUUUCUUAUUAUAAUGAUAAAAUGGAUAUGGAACAGUUACACUCCAGACCCUUAUUUUUCAGUGCUAUUUAUUUUUUUUUCAAAACAUUGAAAACAAAACAAGCAAAAGGAGGGAGUGGAAAGAAAAAAACACCAGGAAAAAAGAAAACUCCCUUCAGACAACAAUCACCUUUUGAGUUAAAUUCUCAUGCUUGGUCUUAGCCCAGAGGGAUUUGUCUUGAGUGAAGUUUGAAGAAAAUCCUUUCAGCAGUUUCUGAGUUAUUUAAAUGUAACCAUGGAGGUUUGGAUUCAGAUGCUUUUUUGCACUUGUAUAACUCAAAAAUAGCUUUGCUUUUAAACUUCUAAAUUAACCCUCCUUAACUUUUCAACUUGUCACCUAUCCUACUGUAUGGCUUAUAAAAUUUUAAAGCUAAUAGUAUAACAAACUCAAAUAAUGAUACUGCAGAUGUUCAAAUGAAUCUUGGGAGGAAUAAAUUAUAGGAGUCACAGUAGGUUGUUACUGAAGAAAGAGCGUCUGCAUGCCUUAAACCAUGUGUUCUUACUGGUCUGAAAUAGGCCCAACCUUUUCUAGUAUUAAAAAGCGUUAAGUGCGCUUGGGUGUGGAUUUUAAUGCUCAGUUACACAUAUGAAAUUAAGCAUAUAAGUCCUCUUCCUUUUUUCUUCCUGAUAACAGUGCUUCAGACUGGUCAGAACAUUCUCUUAAUUGUUUCUGCUUUCUUUUUAACACAAUCCCGAUCAACAGGACACUUCAAUGCCUCCUAAAUAUUUAUGGACUUGAGAGUCACUGAAAUGCUCUGUGAUUCUCUUACGGUUAUUAUUUUAUUGCCAGAAGAUUGAGGCAAUGAGAGGUGAAGUGUCUUGGUCAGUCAUGGUUUUUCCUUUUUCUUUUUCCAAUCCUCCUGUUGCUUUCUUAGGUUCCUUCCCCUUUGUCUUCUUCCUAACAUUCCUCCCUUGCUCACUCGUCCUGUUCUCACUGUCUCCUAUCUGUCUUUCAGCCAUCUUUCUCCAUUUAUUCUUCUCUAACAAUUGCACUGAGAAGGGCCCAUGAUAGAAGGAAAUGAUUUUUACUUUGGCAGGAGCUUUUAACUUUUAUCUUUUCCCUAAAUGUCUUGGAUGGGUCCAGGCAGCUCUCCCCACUUUCAUCAUCUCUCUCACAUACCUCAUGACCCUGAACUCCAGUCAGCAAUCUGUUGUCUGCCAUGAGAGCACCUCCCAUGAUCCAGAGCCACCAUCAGCCCAAGGUGUCGUAACACUGUGCGGUACUUUACCUACUCACCGUGCUUGCUCUGCCACUUUCUAGGAACUGGACACCAGCACCAGGUUUUUCUCGCAGAAUAAUGACAGAUAGCACUGCAGCCUUCUGCACAUCUCUCCUCCUCACUCCUGUGCCCUUCCUCUCCCAAGCUUCUGUGGUUCAGUCUCCUGGCUGCUGCAAUUUAGCCAAGAUACAGGAGACUUGUAUUUAGCCUCUGCCCGAGGCAAUUUGAACUUGAAUCUCUGGCCCCCUGAAUUAGCACCCUACCCAAGAGAUUAUCAGCUGUUUUGUAAGGAGCGUGACCCACGUCCUUUCUUCGAGUGGGAAAACUUGUGCUUGGCUUGUCGGCCUUGUAGUGGAGACACUCACCUGGGUGGGGAAACCACAUCUGCCAGGGCCUGCCCCCGUAAAUACUUAAUACAAAGUAUGUAAGUAUUCCCUGGAAGAGGGUAACAGAAUGCAGGUUUCUUGCUCUCAGUAAUGCUUUGAGAGCAAGCACAUAUGGCAAUCCAGUUAAUAUUUAAUUAUUCCAUACAAACUGGAACAACUCCAACGGGAUGGAUUGGAGAGAGACCCUGUUCCACAAGAUCUUUUUAGUCUGUGCUGUUCUCACUUGGCUGCUGUGGGUCAGCUCCCCUCAUUCCCCAGAGCAGCGAUGGCAGCUGCCUCACCACCACUGGCGCGUGAUGGGGCUGGGUAGUGACAGCAUAUGUGGAGGCUGGAGGGGAGGGAAGAGAAGGAAAAGGUGCUCCUGAACAUCCUCUGUUAUCCAUGGCAACAGGUCUGUACCCACAGCUGAAACAGGCACCUGCCACAGCUGCCUCAGUUACCAUUCUGGACAGGGGUGACAAUGGAUUUGCAGUGGAGGACAAAGAAGCCUGUUAAAAGACAGGGCAGCAGGCUGGGGCACUAUAAGGGAGAUUGCUUUUAAAGGUGGAAAUACAACAAAAAUAAUCUUAAAAGACAAAAAUCAAUGCCAAAGCAGAGGAAGCCAGAAUGACUUCCAGAGCUCGGCUAUAGGCAGUUGUCCCCCAACAUAAGCCAGACACUGUCAGUAUGUGGGAGACAUCCAGUAAUUUUCUCUCCUACAACAAUAUUAGAGACAUUAUAUAUUUUAAGUGUAAUGGAAAAACUAGAGCUGUAGUUCUGGGUUCCAAACGAGAACACUAGCCAUUGGAAGCAAUGUGGUACGAGGGGCUCUGCGUGUGUGUGUGUGUGUGGCUGCUCCCUUUUCUCCUAGGGAUUCUAUAGCUUCCUUCAUUCUUCGCUUCUCUCAUAUUACAGAAAGAAGGUAAUUUUUCCUGGCCAUUUACUAAAGCUCAUUAAAGACCGAAGAGAACAAACAAUGCUACUCCUUAGAGACUACCAUUCAAAGUCAUUCUACAAUUCUCUGUUCUAAUACUUGAGACAAAUUAAUUAUUCCUUAGUGAAAAGUAUAUAAUUCCUAUUCUUCAUUUUUGGGGUGGGGAGUGGGGAAUAAUAAUAGGAAUUUUAUAUCUGAGUCGAAAGCUGUCUGUGCUGAAGGGAAAUGAGAAAAAAUGUGUGUUCCAAGAAGAGUAAAAGCAAUUAUUCUAAUAAUAAUUCUAGGGAUAUUAAUGUCCUUUUAAAGUAGAUUGCUUUCAAAUAAACACCAAAGUUGAAGGGAUAGGAAAGGCUGGUUUAUUUAUUAAUCAUUCCAAAAGUGCAUUUUUCUAAAUGAACAAGUGCAUGAGCAACUUCGCUGGCACAUAUUAAAUUUAGUUAAACGGCAACUUGUAAAUGUCUAAAAACUUCUGUAACCAGAGACUAAUUUGUUUAACGUGUUGAAAAUGUUAUGUGGAUGUGAGGAACUACAUAUUAAACUUCAAAGCAAAAUGCUCCAGAGAUUACACCAUCUUAAAGACUGCAUAUUGGAAAGGCCUUUAUACAUUAAACAUAAAGGAUUUUAAAUUCUCUUCUAUUUUGAAUACUUGUCAAUCUGCGUGACUCAUGCUUAGGAUUGUAAACUGUCAUUGAAGGUGUGAUGUCCACGUUGUGGCUGAGACCAUGACUUGCAAGGGCUGGCUUUUCUCUUUCAUCUCUAUUAAUUAAUCCUGUCUCAGUUUGCCCAGCGUACACUUCUGUUGACAUCACCUUUUCCAUAUACUUUAAAGAGUCCCCAGAGACAUCUACUGCAGAACAAAAACUGGACAGAGAAUACAUUUGGAAACCAUUUUAUUUCUCAAUUACCAACCAAAACGUAUGGAAAAGAUUUACACUUUAUCUGAUUUACACAAUAAUUAUACUUUGAAAGCUUAGAAAUAAAUGGCUUGAUCCUUGAAAUCAUUAGUUACUAUACCAAAUGUAAUUGGUGUAAACUAAUGAGUUUACUGGAUGGCUGACCCUUAAUUACUGAUUAUAGUUAAAUACUAGCCAAUCAAAAAGGAGUUUACUUAUAAAAGUACAGUAUAGUAUUAGCAAGAAUUACAUUUCCAAGUAAGCAGCUUUAUGAUUAGCUGUAGCACACAACUCAAGCCUGUUCAGGGCUAUCAAAAGCAGCUUUUUAAUAACAGUGCACUAAGCAACCAUCACUCUCUUACCUCAGUGUCUAUCAGACAAACAGAAAGAAACCACAUAAUUAAUCAUCUCAUGCAAUAGAAAUAAAGCAUCUGGGCUGGAUCCAGGUGGGAUAUACAUAGCCACCUUAGUCAAAACAGCUGCAAGAGUCUGGGGAUUUGCUCUAAGAUAGGACAACUGACAUGGGGAAUUCUGGCCCUCUGUGGGAGCAAUAUGCGGUAUGGAAGUUAAAUAUUGAUUGCGUGCAGUCCUAUGUGAUCCGGAGAAGCCUAUUGACAAAAUGGGUUUAGUAAUUCCUUGAAUUGAGGAGGACUCUGAGCAGAUUUGAUAUAUGGUGAUAGGACAUUUGGUUACUGUACCAGCAAUCCCAAAAAUUCAGAACUCAUGACUCCUCACUAUUUAUUAGCUAAAAUGAAAAGUAAUUUUUAAAAUAAAAUACUAAAUGGGAAGAAAUUAUUUUUGUUCCUGGUUGAUCUUUAAGAAUUAAUAUUUUUACCUAACAAAGAAGACUCAAAAUUCCUAUCAAAAAUGUUGAAAGCAGAUUUGUAUAAAGACCAUGAUUCCAGAGUUGAGACUUUAAAGCAAUACACCAAAUAUUUUGAUAAAAUGACGGGAUAAAAUUUACUUACAGUCACAUCUUUAAAGGUACUGAGGUAAGUGACUCCAAUGUUUUAAAAACGUGGAAAUUCUCCAUUUCCUAGAACUUUCUUGUGAAUCCUAAACUUCAGAUAGGAGACUGAUAUUGGAAGGCACAAGCAUUAGAAGACCAAGUCUGAUACACUGCCGCUACGGAGAUCUAGUUGGAAGAGUAUGUAUUUGCUGGAGCUCUGUAGCUAGUGCGCUCUUCAAAUGACCUGAUGAACCUCGGAGCUGCCAGGAUUCAUUCUGUCAGGAUUACAGGUCUCUCCCAUUUCUACUUUUCUCUAUGAUGCUCUUUCUGGUGCUCGCCUUUCAUAAAGAGCUGGGCUCAGCAGAGGACUGACCUUAUCCAAUGGCUCUUUGGCACAAGUGCUGCAAUACUUGCCCGUUUAUUAGUAUAAAGAUUUUCUUGAAACUCAUAAAAUGAAGAAUGAAUUAGUUUUUAGAAUGUCUGCACAUGGGUUAAAGUGAAAUUUAUGCAUUUACUGAACUCCUGUAACUCCUGUUUGUGAGAUGUGUCUGGGGUCAAGAGAAGGUUAAAGUUGUUUACUGCCUUCAAGCUCUGGUCUUAGAAGUUAAUUCAGAGCUUUGCUGUGAGCAGCUACAGAAGAGUAAGUCCUUGUAACAGUGAACUGCGGGUUUGAUGUCAAGGUCCUUGGGCCUUAAUAAAGAAAUGAGCUUGUUUCUUAAGGAAAUCCUAGCAAGGCCUUUAUGGUCAUAUAAAGUCAUUAUGCUGUUUUACAACAUAACUUUAAAGAUGCUUUGGAAUGAUCAGAGUUUCUGGGAAGGGAUCAUAUUUUUUAUUAUUUGUGGGAUAUCCUUAAGCUGUCAUAGCUAUAACACUGCCACUUGGAAUAGCUGCUCUACAGUUCAAAAGAGAAGGCAAAAGAUCUGUUGAGGUCUAAGGCAGGCAACGGGGGCAUACCUGUCCGGAGAACGCUUCUUGAAUUGAACGGCUCCCAUGCGCUUCCUGACAAUCAGCUCAAAUUUUGCAGGAGCUGGAAACCUGGGGUAAUCAAGGUGUUUUAUUGCAAUUCCACGACAGCAGACAGAGAACCUAGGAAGCUGUACAAGCCCUGCUUUUCACAGAUCUCUGUUGGAGGGUUCAUGGGUAAGCAAUUUCAAAAGCUAUAGAAAAGGAAGAAGGCAUGUUUCCCAAAACGUCAAGAUCCUGUGAACCCAAAGACAGAGGAAACACUAAACUAGCCAAAACCUUUCCUCUCCGCCCCCUGCACAGCAGUGCUGGUAAGAACAAUGCUGACAUUUCUGCUCUGCUAAUGCUGAGGCAACACCCUCCAGUGCAGAAGAAGGGAGACAAGGAACCAUUGAUUUGGGGGGAGGGGAACACGCUGUGGACAGGUUCACCCUCCCCAGCCUGCCGUCCCAGUGGCACAAAGGGAAGGGGGGCUUCUGGAUGGACCGGUGGAACAAGCACUGUAGGGCCUCGUUUUCCUCCUUUUCUGUGAACUAACUGCUUCUGUGAAAGAAAGUGUCAAGCCCCAUCUUGCUCAUAGAAAUACAACAUAUUUUAAAGCUGUAGUUAAUGGAUAAACUGUUUUCUGAUUGGAUGAGCCACACAAUAAAUCUCUUCCUGAGCCAAGUGCAAUGUAGCUUAUUCAGUUACAGUGAAAUGAGCCACUGUCACUUUGCUGCACUUGCAUACAUCAGGCAAAAUGCUUCCGUCUUCAUCAGUCUUUUAGUGAAAUAGAAAUAAAACAAUUGUAACAGAAUGGUGUCACUGGAUCUGUGGCACCUGCUUUAAAAAUAAAUCUCUUAGCUUUGUCUUCACUAUUACUUUCAAUAAAUGUCCUAGCAUUGCCACAGCAUUUAUCUAGCAGCAGGAAACCAUUAUCCUAUGACAACAAUCUAUUCCAUUAACAUUAGCUCUUAAUUGUAAGAUUGUUUAUAAGACGGCAAAAGCUACUGAAUCAUACUGGAAUGAUAAAAAGAGUUAUGGUCAUGGAGUAUAGCAGUCGCUUCAGUUCUGAAAAACAACUUAAGAAAAGUAGAGGGCUAUAUUUUUUAUAUGAAAAAUAAUGUAAUAUUCUCAUGCAAGGGCAUGUUUUUAAAUAAUGGAUUACAUCAGCUAACUAUUAAAGUAUUAAAGAGUUAAUGUUAAAAACUGUUACUAAGAAACUUUUGCUUUGAUAAAUGGUAUGACUAAAAUACUGAAUAGAAAGCUUAGAAACUCUUCUUGAAAGCGCCCAGUCAAACAGAGAAAUCAUAAUAACAGAAGCACAUUUGUCUGGCGGAGUGAACAGAAGGAAUGUUGCAAAAUUGAGAUAUGAAGAACCUCACUGCAGAAUAGAAGGAGAACUGUCGUUCUGAGUGUUUGUCAUUAUUGUUUCAUGUCCAGUUAAGUGAACUUAAGAGUGACAGUCGUGUCAUAACUACUAGCAUCUAUGUAAAAUUCAAAUCAAACACGAUAGAGGCAUUUCUGCCAGACACAAGUCACCAGGCUGCUCUUGCUCUUUAUUUUUGUAACCCUCCAUUUUCUCAUACUGUGCUGGUAGCCUUUAAAUUAAAAAGACAACUUCAGCAGGGGAUUCCUGUAACGCUUGUGUUUCAGUUCUGUCUGUACCUUGCUUUCUCUCAGCUCUUUGAAACAACGGCUAAUGUCAGUUUUCCAUCAGAAACAGUCACCACAAACAUCUCAAUGUAUUAGCUAAACACCACAAAUGUCUAGAUGUAUUAGCUAAAACUGUGCCUUCCCAUCGAUGAUGUAUCAUACAACAAAAUCCUCUGAAACUCUAGGUCGUGGACUUCCCCUGAAGACCUACAAAGAAAACAGCUUGAGCAAAUGUUUCUCCAUUGCUUUACUAUAGCUCAAGUCAGUUAUCACAUGGGUCUUCUCUGGAUAGCUGCAAAAUAGGUGGAAAAGAGUAGUCUGGACCUUUCUGUAAAUUCCAGCAUCGUUCAGAGGCUACGGGAACUUCACAAGAAUAUCGGCCCUACUGCUCCACAAUGACACGUUACAGUAAAUAACUAAUUUCCUGGAUACACUCAUAACAGGCAGACAUUCUAAGGACAUAGGAUUUGCUACUGGACACACAUCUUUGAAAAUAAUUUCAGUGCAAUUAUAAAGGUAUUAUGUGUGGACAACACCAUCAAAAAAUAUUAAACAUGCUGUUUAUUCACUCAGGCCUAAUACUGAUUUAUUCUGCAUAUUUAAAUUUGCUUGGCUAAUUAAUUAAAUAAUACAGGCAAGAGUUCAGUAUUCAUGUUCCAUUGUAACACAUUAUUUCAGAACAUUGUUUUUACUGAAUUCAGGACUGUUUUCAGCAAUCAUACCAAACUGCAGUUACAGUCUUCAAAAAAUGUUCCUUUGACAAAGGAAAUUUAAAAAAUGGCUACAAGAAAAAAAAUACACAGCUCUAAGUAAGUAGAAAACAUUAAAUGUUUCAAUGAUUUCCUAUCUCAGAGGGAAAAGAAGACAAGUUUACUUUCUCUGCCGAAAUUUUUUGAAGUUAAUUCUGACCGAAAAGAAGUGGCAGCAAUUUAACAAAAACAUACUGUUAUAAAAUCUGAUGUUCAGAAGCACAAAUGAUGGUGUUAUAAACAUGUACCUCUACAUUAGGUAAGAGCAUUUUGGUCAGUUAAAUUAGUAGGUGGGUUUUUUUUUUAAAUCCUUUCCAGUUGAUCUUUCUUGUUGUGUAAACAUAAAGUAGCUCAGUGGCUACUUUUAUCUGUAACUUGGGCCUGUCCCAUUUUGUGCUGCUCCAUCCUCUGAUCUGACCAUUUGUUAUGGUGACUGGUGAAGAGGGGCAACAUGUUAAUGCAAAUUCUAUAAAAGUGUCAGUGAAGAAAACAUUUUUUUACUUGAAAGGGUAAGUUCUAAUUUUUUAUCAAAGGGGUUUUUUUUUCUUUUUAAAGAUGGCGACAUCUGAAUGCUAAAAAUAUUCAUGUUUGUAUUUGUGACAAAAUAUCGCUCUACAGAUAUGACAUCACAAAAAUCAACUCAGUCAGUAUAUAUUUAAGAAUAUCAAAAUAAUUGAUUUGCUUAAAAAGUGCCUUAUUUUAUUAGACUGUGGAAUGUAAAUCCCCCUUUCAAAAUUCAUAUAGCAUUUCCAAUUGUAAGAUUGUUUUAUGUAGUGAACUUAUUAUUACAUAUGCAUAUUCUAGUGGCCUCUAUAGACUUUUAAUUUAAAACAUAAAUUACAUAUCAUUUCAAACUCCGAUGUCUUUGACUUCAGUCACAGAACUCACUUCCAGGACUUUCUGCUGCUGCUGGCUUGUGGCAAUAUAUCAGUCCUCCCAACAGGAAUGUGUACAGGACAAAUUAGUGAAUGUAAUUUUAGCCAUAUGAGGUCAUCACAAAUAUAGCCUUAGCUCUUCCUAAAGUGGACUUCAUUGUUAAUAUAAAUAUAUAUCUAUAAUUACUGACAUUUAUAUUAUUUGGCUCCUGUCCUAAGUUACAGAUGCAGUGAUCAUAAAAGGGUCUUGCAAGCCCUUACCUAAGCGAACCAUGCUUACUGAUUACCUUCCAUGUUUCUGGGUUCCUGUAAAUAAAGUUACUCAUGUAUUUAUAAGCAAGUCAAAAUCUGUACACAUAUUUCCAAAAGUGAAUUAUCUUGCUCUUUGGGGCAAACAGUACAGUCUACUGCUUGGAAAAGAACACUGAGAUUAAAGCCAUCCAGGAUUCUUCCCAGCUCCUGCAAGGACACGUACUCUCCUGUUUCACUGGAUAUCCAAUUUAAACACUAAAUACUUAACCCAGUCACAUUUUUAAACUGUUUGAAGCCCUAAACCAGAAGAUCCUAUGCGAGUACAAGGAUGCAUCACUUUAAAGUAACAAACGGCUGUUGAUUUUCCAUCACCAUUUCCAAAGAGACUGGGAUCAGAGGGUUUGUUUUAAAAGCCUAACUGUUGGUUCAAUAUGUGUAGCUUGCAAGACACGAGGACCAGCAAAGUGCAGCAUGGAAGAUCUCAAGACAAAGCAGCAGCCUCAACAUUUCUCUCUAAUGAGAAAAGAGGACAGUCAAGGACCCAUAGGAAUGCAGUAUUUGGGGAGAGAAUCAAGACUCCUUUCAUGAAUGGAGAGAUAACCCUGAUGAAUACUGGACUACCUGCUAUCUUAGGGGCAUGUCUAGGUUUAAGAAUGAUUUGGAUCACAGGCUGUAACAUUUUCCAGACAUUCAGAUUGCAACUACUAAGCCAGCAAUUUUAUGCUUUCCGUUCCCUGACUCCAACGGUACCGCGAUAUAAGCAGCCAGAUUUUCUUAUGCAUUGUGUUUUUUAUCCAUUCAGCCAAAAUUAACAGUCUUUGAGGAAAACGUAUGCCAAGUGAAUUUAAAUCUUGCGGACUCAAAUCGACCUAAAGUUGAUGGAUACAUUCAUGCCUACUGCUGAAAUCUACCAAUUAUACAGAACUAUGUUAACUUACCAUAGAAACAUCUCAUCUAAUAGCACAGAUGAUGUUGAACUAACUAAUUACAUUAUGGCACAUAGACAAUGAAAAACAUAACGAAGAUGACAGCACAGCAACAGCAGAUGCUGCACAAAAGAAAAAUUAGAAAAAUAUUGCUCUGCAAAAUGCUCUCAGUUAAGGUUUCCUCUGUUAAAAUUAAUCACAAAAAUUAGUGAAGAUCAAAUUUCAGAAAAAGAUAUGAACAUUGUAAUGGUAUUUGGAAGACGUCAUUAAGCCAUUUAAAACUCUGCUCCUUGAGAAGGUAAUUCCCAUUUUUCGUAUCACUAUCAGUUUUAAGACUAGUAAACAUUUUAGUACCUAUGGCAGAGUUUCUUGGUAGAAUAUCUUUUCCAGCAAGGAGAGGUCCUGAUGGCUCUUCCAGAGUCUGAGUUUGGUAGCUUCCAGCCAUUACAGGCUUAGAUAAUUAGACAACUUAGAUUUUAUUAUAGCUUGGCAUUUGCUCUAUUCUUGUGCUCUUAGCUGUCAGAGAGCUAGAAUAACAGUGACUGUUGAUUAUCUGUAGCAUGGCUUGUUACUUUAUAUAUUUCAAAUUGUACCAGAUCCUAAAUAACAAAUGUAAAACUGCUGAGUAUGUUUAAAUGUAAUACGUACAUGGAGAUUACAUCCAGAUGAUAUAUUUCAUAGACCUAUGCUAAAAAAAAAUUGUAUUAUUUUUAACCACA